AUCCCGGCGGUCCAAGUCGCAUCCACAAUUAUUGGGUCUAAAACAUCCGUAGCUUGUUUUGCAAGUCUCUUGUGAAAUCCUAUAUCUCAAGUAUAGGGCGUGCAAGAGAUACUGCAAUACUAGAGACCGGAAGACGCAAAGAGUAUAAAGAAGGUAGCGGUAAAAUGUGUUAAUCUUCUUUAGACUAACAACGGCGAAGGCACUUUGCGAGUACGGAUCUGACAGUGAGGGAUGAAGGCUAGGGGCGCAAAAGGGAUUAGAUACCCCUGUAGUCCUAGCAGUAAACACUGCUCACUAAACAUUAGUACCUCCUCGAGAGGUAUUAGUGCUGCAGGGAAGCCGAAGAGUGAGCUACCUGGGAAGUAUAGUCGCAAGACCGAA
rnacentral:rRNA from 1 species